rnacentral:lncRNA from 1 species
GCGGGCGGCCUGGGGAGCGACAUCCGGGUGGGCCUGGGAUCGGCCACCUGCUGGGCACGUGCAGGGGCGGGGGUCCCUCGGUCGCAGCUGACGACCCUUGCCUUCCUCAGCGCCGGCCUCGAGCUACAACCUGGACGUGCGGGGCGCGCGGAGCUUCUCCCCACCGCGCGCCGGGAGGCACUUUGGAUACCGCGUCCUGCAGGUCGGAAACGGGGUCAUCGUGGGAGCUCCAGGGGAGGGGAACAGCACAGGAAGCCUCUAUCAGUGCCAGUCGGGCACAGGACACUGCCUGCCAGUCACCCUGA